CGAGCCGGAGGCGGGGCGGACGGGCGGGCGGACGGGGUGGGACCGGUGGAGGCUCUCCGGCUGGGGUGCCUCGGGGUGGCUCUCGAAGGCCCAGCGCAGCCUGGACACGGUUCUGGCGGUGCCGGGGGAGGGAGAUGGGGAGGGGACGGUAACGGAGAGGAGGUUGGGGUUGGGGCGGCGCCCCGAACCGCAGAGGUCGCUGCGCCCACCUCUGACGCCGUCCUUGCCCGGGGGCAGAGCAGUGCGCUCCCGAGCGGCGUCCCUUCUGUGCGGCCCGGAGCGCGGAGUCCAGGGUCCUGCCCUCUCCACGGCCGUAAGGCCUCCUCUCCAGCCUGGAGAAAUCAUGAUCCAGGACCAGGCCUGUCCCCCAACCCCUGGUGAGGCACCCGGGGGCUCAGACUCAGCCCCUAGCAACGGUGGAGCGGUCAUAAGUCAGAUUGCAUGCCCAGCGUGGAGCCCAAUGUGGGGCUUGAAC